rnacentral:rRNA from 1 species
AUGGAGCCGACCUUGAAAUACCACCCUUUAAUGUUUGAUGUUCUAACGUUGACCCGUAAUCCGGGUUGCGGACAGUGUCUGGUGGGUAGUUUGACUGGGGCGGUCUCCUCCUAAAGAGUAACGGAGGAGCACGAAGGUUGGCUAAUCCUGGUCGGACAUCAGGAGGUUAGUGCAAUGGCAUAAGCCAGCUUGACUGCGAGCGUGACGGCGCGAGCAGGUGCGAAAGCAGGUCAUAGUGAUCCGGUGGUUCUGAAUGGAAGGGCCAUCGCUCAACGGAUAAAAGGUACUCCGGGGAUAACAGGCUGAUACCGCCCAAGAGUUCAUAUCGACGGCGGUGUUUGGCACCUCGAUGUCGGCUCAUCACAUCCUGGGGCUGAAGUAGGUCCCAAGGGUAUGGCUGUUCGCCAUUUAAAGUGGUACGCGAGCUGGGUUUAGAACGUCGUGAGACAGUUCGGUCCCUAUCUGCCGUGGGCGCUGGAGAACUGAGGGGGGCUGCUCCUAGUACGAGAGGACCGGAGUGGACGCAUCACUGGUGUUCGGGUUGUCAUGCCAAUGGCACUGCCCGGUAGCUAAAUGCGGAAGAGAUAAGUGCUGAAAGCAUCUAAGC